ACUGCAAAGCUUUCGAUCCGUAAGCUCGGAUCUUCAUCAGUGCUAGUAUUAAUAAUAUUAGCAUUGAUGAAGAUCCGUGCUUAUGGAUCGAAAGCUUUGCAGUAAUAAAUU